rnacentral:rRNA from 1 species
GACGAACGCUGGCGGCGUGCUUAACACAUGCAAGUCGAACGGAAAGGCCCUGCUUUUGUGGGGUGCUCGAGUGGCGAACGGGUGAGUAACACGUGAGUAACCUGCCCUUUACUUUGGGAUAACUUCAGGAAACUGGGGCUAAUACCGGAUAGGAGCUCCUGCUGCAUGGUGGGGGUUGGAAAGUUUCGGCGGUUGGGGAUGGACUCGCGGCUUAUCAGCUUGUUGGUGGGGUAGUGGCUUACCAAGGCUUUGACGGGUAGCCGGCCUGAGAGGGUGACCGGCUACAUUGGGACUGCGGUACGGCCCAGACUCCUACGGGAGGCAGCAGUGGGAAAUAUUGCACAAUGGGCGGAAGCCUGAUGCAGCAACGCAGCGUGCGCGAUAACGGCCUUCGGGUUGUAAGCCGCUUUCGCCUGUGACGAAGCGUGAGUGACGGUAAUGGGUACAGAAGCACCGGCUAACUACGUG